AGACCUUGGCAGAGAGCGCCCUGGGAAAUGCGGAUAUAGAAGGUCAGGAGAACAUCUCUCCUGGUUAUACAGCAUUCCAGCACCUCUUCAAGUGAGAUGGCAGACCACCUCAGGAUGGAAAUGUAUUUCUUCAUCCCCCUCUCUACUUCCCUGUGACCUCCUGCAAAUAAGGGAGAGACAAAGAGAAGAGCAGAAGAACAGAAGAAUGGAGUGGCAAAGAGAAGAGAAGGAGUGACUGAACAUUGACAAGACUUUGGUUGGGGAUGGUCAGAGAGGAGAUUAGCUGCUAGACGGCCACACUGCGGAGAAAGAUCAUUUUCCCACUCCAUCCCCCUUCCAGCUCCCCAUCCAUCUCACCAAGAGCCAGCUCCACCACUCAAUAAAACCUUACAUUCAUCUUUCA
rnacentral:lncRNA from 1 species